rnacentral:lncRNA from 7 species
GAAGGAAUUAAAUAAUUAAGGAAACAAUUAAGAGUUGGAAGCUUGGUUUGAGGGGUGCAAGACAAAUGGUAACUCAAUGAAGGACAAGGAAGCUUGCAAAAGUAAAGGGAUACUGUAGCAGAAAUGCUAAGUCACAGCUUGAAAAGGUGAUUGAGCACCUGGUAGGAAGGCAGGGCCAACCUGGGGGAGCUCAGGUGUAUGCAAUGCACUGGAGUAACUGGAAGGGGAGAAGGCAGGAUCCACCCCUUCCCACGCCUCAUUUAAGGGUUGGCAGUGAAGGUGAGAAUAUUUUGCUGGAGAACUCUGCAAACCUGAGGCCUUCUAAAGGUACUGUUUUCCAGACAGAUGGAAAAAUAAAGACGACUUUGACCCAAUCUAAACAUUUUUCACAUUGGAUGACAAGGUUCAGGACACCUCCUAUAAGCUCAGCUCAGCAGCGAGGGGACUGUUUUCCACAGAGAUUUUGGAGAGCUGGAGUGGGAGUCAAUGCUUUAACAACUCCACCUCCUCAACAGGACAUUUGUGGACUUCAGGAUCUGGCUCAUGGGGUGCAAUUCAGCUGUCAUUCUGGGAUGUGUCCCUCUUAAUCCAUCCUUGGUACAUGCCUGCCUUCACCCAUCAUCCACUCCUUCUGCAGCACUUUCUGCACUCCAGACCUAAUUUCUUCUGCUCUCUUGUGCAAUUUUGUGAUUACAUAUUUUGCUGCUCUAUAGGGAGAAGUUUUCCUGUUGAUAUAUAUUCUUCUUCCCCAGUUGCUGCUGCUACCAUUGUUUGCUCCAUAGUUGUGCUAUCCUAUGCCUCAUCUGCACUGCUCUUGCCCAGGCUCCCCUGUCUCCCCAUUUUAAUCUGAUCUUUGUCAGAAGAGAGUAUUUACAGCAACUAGGCACCAGAUCUGGGGCAGGGAAGGCAAUCCUCCUGUGUUGGUGCUGCAGUAGUGAGUGCUUGGCUGAUGGAGGCAGUGCUGGGUGGCUCUAGUUGCUUCCAGGUGUGAGCUGACUACAAACCCCUGAGUUUGGGGAUGGUUUUGGGUAUGCAUACCCAGAAGUGAAGCCAUAGACAGUUCAGUAUCUCAGGAGGCACAGGAGCUGCACAGAGCUGGAUUGCACCACAGGCACAAGGACAUCUAGAAAAGAUCCAGACACUGGCUUUGGGCAACUGAGUCCCACUGGGCAGCUGAAGGCAACGCACAGUGGCAGUGAAGACUUUCCUCUUCUAUUUAACCCUAACAAAGACUAAAUGUGGAAUUUCACCAUCCAGAAAAGUCAAAGUUUUGCAAAGGAUUUCCUGUAUCUUCUUCCGGGGAAGGGCAGCAUGGUGGAACGUUAAACUGAAGAAGUAAAUGCCUGUAGAAAUGUAAAUGCUGGCCAGACAAUGCCUGGGCACACUGCUCAGAGGGAGCACUGGGACUGAUCUGUUGGCACCAGUGUGUAACUGCUGGUGGAUUUUACCACCCACUUAUACUGUCAUGAUUUAUGAAAUCAGCCAGGAACAUCUUCUGCUUUGGAAGGGAAAAGGUAUUUAAUAAAUGAAGAUGCAUGGGAAAGAAUUAGGACCUGACAUCGCAUUAGGAGAGCAAAGAUUUUUUUUUUCUCUCCUUCCUCUGUAAGAUCUGAUCAUAUGUGGAAUUGGCCAAGAAAACUUGCAUCAGAAGGAACUAGAUAGAACUGGUGGCAGAGCAGGGAGCGCAGAAGUUGUGGCUGUGCUUAUGUGCCAGGGUUCUUUAUUUGGCCGUCCCUUCUAUGGGCAAUCACAGCCUCACACAAGCAGGGAAGCACCAGAAAUCAUCAGCCAACAAUCAGCUCGCUGCCCACCUGAAGUGCUUGGCUUCAUUCCAAACCUGCUGCUGUCAGAGCUUGGAGCAUGCAAAGCUGUGGUGGGAUUUAGGGGCAAGGUUCCUUUCAGCACAGCAUUUCUCCAUUUCUCAGGUCAAGCCUGCACCAGAUACUACCCAAUAUUGCAAGGAGGAAACCUGUUCCUGCGUUAUCCUAAUGCUGGAAACUGUCUGCUUGCCUUUGAUUCACUUUCAGCCCUGUUUCCUCUGGUCCCAAGUCAACAUUAAUCUUAAUUAUGUCUCAGCUAACAAGUCUUUAAGAGUUUAUUAAACAGGCUUUUGU